rnacentral:rRNA from 1 species
GGUUAAGCUAGAAAGGGCGCACGGUGG